AUCUCUGUGGUGUAGUGAUAGCACGCGCCCCCGGUAUGGACGAAACGCGGGUUCGACUCCCGUCUUAGAUC